AUUGAACGCUGGCGGCAUGCCUUACACAUGCAAGUCGAACGGCAGCACGGGUGCCUGCACCUGGUGGCGAGUGGCGAACGGGUGAGUAAUACAUCGGAACGUACCUUAUCGUGGGGGAUAACGCAGCGAAAGCUGUGCUAAUACCGCAUACGCCCUGAGGGGGAAAGCGGGGGAUCGAAAGACCUCGCGCGAUUAGAGCGGCCGAUGCCUGAUUAGCUUGUUGGUGGGGUAAAAGCCCACCAAGGCGGCGAUCAGUAGCUGGUCUGAGAGGACGAUAAGCCACACUGGGACUGAGACACGGCCCAGACUCCUACGGGAGGCAGCAGUGGGGAAUUUUGGACAAUGGGGGCAACCCUGAUCCAGCAAUGCCGCGUGAGUGAAGAAGGCCUUCGGGUUGUAAAGCUCUUUUGUCAGGGAAGAAACACCGGCUCUAACACAGUCCGGGAAUGACGGUACCUGAAGAAUAAGCACCGGCUAACUACGUGCCAGCAGCCGCGGUAA
rnacentral:rRNA from 1 species